AAAGUAUGCCUAACCUGCACUUGUGGUCAAGUCAAUGAACUAUGUCAAUGGAUGUACGAUAUGAGAAAACAACACCCUCAAGACUUGCCACAAAGUUCUGUGAUGGACAAAGAGCAGCAAAAGAUGCCACUUUGCUCAACACCAGACGUGAGCCUUACACAUGGACCUGUGGUGACUCAUUUGCAACCAAUUGAUGUCCCCUUAGACAGUCCAUCACCACCUAAGAGACGAAAGUCUAAUCAGUCUGUAUACCUAAGAGUCAAAAGACCAGGUAUGCUGGGAGUCUCUGGAUACCUGACUUAGAUCUACGUUACAGGGAUAGGGCAGUUGUAAAGAGAGGAAAACUAUAUGACAAGCAUAUGUAUGCUGCCCAUGAAGUGCUGAGGUAUCAGUUCCCUCAUCUGCAUGGUCUUCAAUCGACAUUACUUACUCAAAAAGAGUUUAAAGCAAUUCAAUGUCAUGACUCUGUUGUAAGAGGCAAGGGUUAGGCUUAUAUAAUGUUAUCUCGAUGGAUCACUAAUUAUAUUACUGUAAUGUACAUAGUGUAUAAUAAUAAUUAUCGCCUAUAAUUAUAUGCAGCCGUUCAGAUACUAUUUGUUGAGGAAAGAGAGCACUGGGUUGUUUCCAGCCUCACCAAUGGAAAACUGAGGCUAUACUGAUAUGACAGCUGUUCAACUGGAGGAUUAACCUCAAGUCUUCAAGUACAGCUAGCUCAAAUAUACGGCAAUCAAUUUGCGGUAAACAACAAACUCAAAGUUUACAUUGAGCCUGUACAGCAGCAAGAAGGAGAAAUGGACUGCGGUGUUUUCAGAAUUGCAAAUGCAUACAAUGCUGCACAGGCAAAGAGUACGAAAGAUGUAACGUAUGACUCACAACAAAUGCGUUCACACAUUCAGCACUGUUUUGAAGCUAAAACAUUCAGCACUUUUCCUCAAUCUAAAAACUCGGCAGCAAUCAACAGAUGUGAUCCCAAACAGAUAAUCAUCGAGCUGUACUGCACUUGUGGUCUUCCAGAUAUAUAUGAUAGCCGAAUGACCGAGUGUACAGAAUGCCAAAAGUGGUUUCACUUUUUAAAUGCAUGAACAUCAAGGUCAGGCCAAGAGGAUGGCUGUGUAUAACAUGUAGAUCUAAUUCAUGUUAACUGUAUCACCAAACUGUUAAAUUGUUAUUAAAUAGCUAGCUAGCAAGCUAUAUAUUAUAGA